UACGUAGGUGGCAAGCGUUGUCCGGAUUUAUUGGGCGUAAAGGGAGCGCAGGUGGUUUCUUAAGUCUGAUGUGAAAGCCCACGGCUUAACCGUGGAGGGUCAUUGGAAACUGGGGAACUUGAGUACAGAAGAGGAAUGUGGAACUCCAUGUGUAGCGGUGGAAUGCGUAGAUAUAUGGAAGAACACCAGUGGCGAAGGCGACAUUCUGGUCUGUUACUGACACUGAGGCUCGAAAGCGUGGGGAGCAAACAGG
rnacentral:rRNA from 1 species